rnacentral:rRNA from 1 species
UAGCCGUAAACGAUACUCGCUAGGUGUCGGCCACGGUGCGACCGUUGUCGGUGCCGUAGGGAAGCCGUGAAGCGAGCCACCUGGGAAGUACGGCCGCAAGGCUGAAACUUAAGGAAUUGGCGGGGGGAGGCACCACAACGGGUGGAGCUUGCGGUUUAAUUGGAUUCAACGCCGGAAAUCUUACCGGGACCGACAGCAACAUGAAGGCCAGGCUGAAGACUUUGCCGGAUUAGCUGAGAGGAGGUGCAUGGCGUAGUCGUGU